AAUAUUAGGGUAGAAUAUUUGUACUAUAAGCCAUCGACGUAUUAGUAAGUGGUUUCGCAUCCGUGGAACAUGGACGAGGAAGAAGAGACGCGACUAAUUGCGCCGCGCCGGUAUUCCGGAAUUGCUUUAAAGCAUUAGCUGGAACGUCGCGGAGAGGUAUACAACCCCCCAAGAUGGCUGCUCCCGGGCGUAUCGACGUUUGGCGUUUGCAGGGUUUCCCAGAGGCGCUAACGACGCUGGAGGAAGGGAAAUAUGCGGCGUCGCAUCCGGUAAUCUCCAACGUCCCAGCUCGUCGCUCCAAGUGGCCGUGGAUCUGACGGCGGCGACAUCGCGAAACGGACAUCCGGGUCGAAGAUGAGGAACCAUCGCGUCGCAUAUUUGCGAGUCUAUCUCCGGUAGCACCAGUCCUCGCUUGCCUCUCAGACCCAGCAAGAUCCACCAGGUGAAGCCUUCCUCUCUUUACCGUAUUCUCAGUCUUACUGCUCUCUUCGUUAAUGGCCAGCGUUUCCAAGGAUAACGUCAACACAGCGUGACUUCUAGAGCUGGCUGCGUUCAUUUUAGUAGCUGCAGCAGCUCUUCUUCUAUCGCCUUGUUCGACCAGUCGCGCGCAUUCCGCCGCAUCUUUCACCGUCACCUCUCUCAAACCUCCAGCCACGUAAGUUCCACGAUUGGGAUCCUCUUUCAAGGUAACUCAGCAAGGCCAAGUAUCUCAUUUCCGCGCUGGCCGUCGACGUGGCCUCGAAGAUGUGGUCUAAAGUACGUUCGAUGAAUCCGCGCAUUGUGUGCGAUUUGCCGCAUCCUGUUUGUCCGUAUGCAAACACGGUGCCAUUGUAGCCGUCCAGUACAGCCUCCACUAUGACCGAACCAACGUUUUCGUAGACAAAUUCCGUAGUUGCUUCCGGACCGAAGGCGGCGUCAAAUUGGUACACCUUGCCGUUUCCGGGGCCUGCGGCUGCUGGACACUCGAGGGUGCAGCAUUUUGACGCAGAGUCGAUCGUUACCACGUUCUGCACAGCUCUUUAAUAAAUCUCAAAGUUAAAGAAUCGAGGACUGUCUGCAGUGUAUAACGAAAGAAUGCGAAGACGCAGGGGGAAUGGAAAAAAAGGAUAGAGACGCAAAAAGUAACGCAGAUCGGAGGAAGAAUGGAGAAGAAAUAAGAGACUGGAAUCAAGGAAGAAGAGCGCAAUCGCGUGUAAUAUCAUGUGUAAUAACGUACGAUCAAAGUACAGAUAUAACGCGAUAUACUGCAACAUAAAUUAAGGUCACCGUACAUUUACGAAACACCGUGACUUGGAAAAAUGUUUUCUAAAGUUCGUAGUGUGCAUGUAGUUUUCCGUUGUGCAAAUAUUUUCCUGUUUAGUCCAUUCUUAAAAACGAACUACGUGUAUAAAAGAGGAUAAACGUUCAAAAAUGUUCCUGCCUUUAUUAAUAACCGGUUUUUGUAAAUUUAAUCCGAGCGGAAUAUCGAUCGAGCAAAGGACUUUGCGUUUGAAAUUAAAACCUAUGACUGCGCUACUCCCGUAAUUUACAAGUAACGCCCGCAAGAACGAUCAAAGUUAUUCAACUUUUUUAUAAAACUAAUCGAUCGAUCAAUCAUUUAUCAAUCGCGUUAUGUCGCUACAUCUCUAUACUCGUUAUGCAAAACUAUCUGUGUAACGUGGUUAUUACUUGCAACGUCGGUUUAGCGAUAGUUCGUAGUUCAUAUUCAUAUCGAUCGAAUUUCGCGGAAAUAAUAAUAAAACGCGAUUGUCGCUUCUUCCUAUUUCAGUAUCGUAACUAAAUUAUCGAUUCGAGCUUCUUUUCUCAUUUUUCAUUCGAUACAUCGAGCAAAUAAGUUUCACGGAUAUAAUUAAAAGCCAGUUGCUACGCUAGAUAACCGCGAUAUUUUUAAGAUCGAGUUAAUUUCAAAUUUAGAUUAAUUUAAAAUCGAGCACUCUGAUUAAAAUUUCCGUAGUGACACGUGAUUCAACAACGUUGGUCGAGAGUUAAACCUGAUAUAAUAAAAUGAAACUAAAUUACCUUAAAAUUAAAUUAAAAUUGUAGAGCGGGCUACGAUCCAACAAAAUAUUAAUUAACAAUUAGACUUGACAUAACGAAUACUUUAAAUGCAUCGAACAGCAAAAUACGAAAUAACGAAUACUUUUCCUGAUAAUUCCUGUAUCUUAAAUCAUUUUACAUUUCUAUAUGCAUGUGUACGUCGUGUAUUCCUACGUUAUCAAACUUAAUAAAAUUGAACGAAUACAGCAUACAACGAAUUCUUUUAACAGGCUCAACAUUCUAUACUUCCUAAGUAAUGAAAAACAAAGGUAAAUACAAUUAAAAGGAAAGAAAAUUUGUAUACUAUCUGUCACGUGUUGACUCGAAGACCCUUUCCACUUUCAUCGUACGUCCAUCAACGUAUCUCACAGCUACGUAUCACGGACCAUCGUGUACGGUGAGUCGUCGUUAAAUUUACUAUUCCAUAAGAUAUUCAAAAGGUAACGUAGGCACGCUAAGCUGAUCGGUGCAUACACGAUGCAUAGAUAGUGGUAUCGAACCACGUCGUUGCACACAUCGUU